rnacentral:lncRNA from 1 species
ACCACCAUAAAACCUGGACCCACCACCAUUGUCCGAGCUAGAUCCACCCCACCCGAAGCCAAACUCGCCACCUCCACUGGACUGACCUGAACCUGACCCGACACCCCACCAGUAAUUCCAGCUUCCAUUGGGCGAUGAUCUGCAUCCACACCGGAAGUUCCGCCCUCCUUGUUGGCCGGACCCACCUCGGGGGCCGCUCCCUUGACCACUACCAUCCAUAGACGUGCUUGGUGCCUUAUCGGUGGAUGUAAUCUUUGAGCAACUAGUUGUAGGAGAGACAAAAAUUAAAAGUGCAACUACUAACCCCCACACUAACACCCAUUUUUCUGCCUUUAUUAUCAUUUUUUUCUUUCGAG